GACAAAUCCUAUUCCUCAGUUGACCAAUCACAGCCCAGUAUUUCCCCUCAUGUGACUCACCUCCAAACAGGAAGUGAAGUUGGGAGGCGAGUCUUCAGGAAAAAAGCACAGCAGUAUCCUUCAGCAUGUGGCGAGCACAAGUAGGCAGCAAUGUGGUGAUGGACAAUGGGGAUGAUGAUGACUGGGAGACAGACCCUGACUUUGUGAAUGAUGUGAGUGAGCAGGAGCAGCGCUGGGGAGCCAAGACCAUCGAAGGCUCGGGGCAUCACGAGUCCAUAAGCCUGGAUGCGCUGAGAAAAGGCGUGAGUUCUGAUCACCAGAGGGUGAAGGAGAAGGAACUGGAGGAAGGUCCGAAGGCUUCGUACGGCUACGGCGGGAAAUUUGGUGUGCAGAAGGACAGAAUGGACAAGGUUGCUGUCGGACAUGACCACAUUGAGAAGGUUGAGAAGCACUCCUCAGUGCUGGAUGCUGCGAAGGGUUUCGGCGGGAAGUACGGCGUCCAGUCGGACCGUAAGGACAAGUCAGCAGUCGGCUGGGAACAUCAGGAGAAGCUGGAGAAACACACAUCUCAGCAGGACUACUCCAAAGGGUUUGGCGGGAAGUAUGGGGUACAGAAGGACCGUGUGGACAAGUCUGCUGUGGGCUGGGACCAUGUGGAGAAAGUCGACAAACACGAGUCACAGAAAGACUAUUCCCACGGAUUUGGCGGAAAGUACGGCGUGCAGACGGACCGUCAGGAUAAGUGUGCACUCAGCUGGGAGCACCAGGAAAAACUCAGCAAGCACAACUCACAGAAAGACUACUCCAAAGGGUUUGGAGGGAAGUAUGGAGUACAGAAGGACCAUGUUGACAAGUCAGCAGUUGGCUGGGAUCACAUCGAGAAAGUCGACAAGCACGAAUCACAGAAAGAUUAUUCUCAAGGCUUCGGUGGCAAAUAUGGUGUACAGAAAGACCGCGUGGACAAGUCAGCUGUUGGAUACGAACACCAGGAAAAGUUAGAGAAGCACGAAUCGCAGCAAGACUAUUCCAAGGGAUUCGGAGGGAAGUAUGGCGUACAGAAGGACAGGAUGGACAAAUCUGCUGUAGGUUAUGAGGACCAGACCAAGCCCGAGCUCCACCCGUCCCAGACCGACACCAAGAAAGGCUUCGGUGGGAAAUUUGGCGUGGAGUCCGACAGGGUGGACCAGUCUGCCCAUGGAUUUGGAGAUGUGGACAAACCCAGCUCCGCUUACCAGAGAACAAGGCCAGAAGUCCGUGGUGGCGGAGCUGGCAAUCUUAAAGCCAAGUUUGAAAACAUGGCGAAGGCCAACGAGGAAGAAGCGGCAAAGAGGGUCGCAGAGGAGCGGUCACGUCGCGAGGCCAAGGCCAAGGCAGAAAAGGAGGCCGAGUUAAAGAGAUUGGAGGCUGACAAGGCCAAGAGGAAGGAAGAGGAAGCUGCUCGGAGGAGAGCCAAGGAGGAGGAGGAGGCUGAGAGGAAGGCUGCAGCUGCUGUGCAGGAACCAGAGCCGACCUACGAGGCAGAACCCACGUACGAACAGGAGCCUACUUACGAAGGUGAACCCCAGGAGGGUAUAUAUGAGGCAGAACCUGAACCUGAGUCAGAUCCGGUGUAUGAGCCACCCCCAGAGCUGCCCAGUCGGGCCCCUGUCAAGUCAGAGCCAGAACAGAUUUAUGAGCCAGAACCGGAGCCCAGCAGGCCUGCACAGCCACAGCAGGAGGAGGAAGAUGUCUACCAGGAAGUGGGACCACAGGAUGAUGAUAAUGACUAUGAGGCCCCACCAGACGGAGAUGCUGAGACCUACACUGAUGUGGGGAGUCUCAGUAAAGAUGUCACUGCCAUCGCUCUGUAUGACUACCAGGCUGCGGCUGAGGAUGAAAUCUCGUUUGACCCAGAUGACGUCAUCACCAACAUCGAAAUGAUUGACGAGGGCUGGUGGCGUGGAGAGUGUCACGGACAAGUCGGCCUCUUCCCAGCAAAUUUUGUGGAGAUCCGACAGUAGACCAAGUGUUCUUACCACUUACCACCCCAGCUACACACCAACAAUCUUAUUAUACCCGUCACAUUGAAGGAAAAUCAGUGGCCCCGAACUCUGUCCAAUAUGAUAGGGUAGAUUUUUAGGUGAAAAAUAUGCUGGAGGUGAUUUUUAGAUUCUGCAACAUUUUGCAAGAAAUACGAAAGAACCUUGUUGAAUGUGUGCCGGGGUUGGAUAAAAUUCUGUAAUAUUUUGAAAAUAUUCUGGUGUUUUUCUAAAAAAAGGGCAUGUUCUUUGACUGUUUUAGUUUGAGCAAGAAAAUGAGCAAUUUGAUACAUAUGUGAAAUACAGUAAGUUUUAUUGAUAUUAGGGUAUUCUGUUUUAGAACAGGGAAGAAACAAAAGCAUUGACUAAAAGUGGGAUCAUUACAUAUAACAUGUAAAUUGUCUGUUAAAGGGCUGUUUUUUGUUAUACUUAGGAGUCCUACAGAAAAUCUGGAGCUUCCUUCUUUUGUAAUCAUUUUUUUUUAAAUUUGCUGAUGCAUGCAAAUGAUUUAUUGCAGGUUUGCAUUUAUUGUAGGUUGAAAAUUUAGUAGUUCUGUAUUCAGCUCAUAUCACUCUCGAUAUAAAGGUGAAAUGAUUGUACACUGCAAGGCUAUAUAACCAGCAAUACAUGUAUUGGGACAGACAUAUGGGCACCUAAAUGAGCUUUCAUUUAGCUUGAAGCUGUCUCUUGCCAAAAAGAGCAUAUCGUUAACUACAAUGUACUCAUCUAGUAGAGUCACACUACAAAUACAUAAUCAUUCCCAUUGUUACACAUCAAUUGAGGUACAGUGGAAGCCAGUUAAUUGCACGUCGGAUAAACGCACACUUCAGUCAAUUGCACGGAAUAGCCAAAUCCCGUGGCGGUGUGGUCCAACCGGGUGACUUCGCAUUAUCGCACACGCCGGAUAAUUGCACGGAAUUCGCUGGCAAAUUGGGUGUGCAAUUAAGCAGCUUCCACUGUAUUUUGAAAUAAGCAGACAAGGCAUGAUUAACCGGGAAUUUUUGUUACAUUAUAUAAAGUCAUAUUUAAUAUAGCAACAUACUUGUACAUGCGUGGUGGAGGUUGUGGAAUUAAGUUUAUGCAGACGGUGUAAGUUGACAGUACAGUGUUUGAGGGAGGAGAGCCUUUGCACUUUUCAAUAAGAAUUUUAUUAUGUGCCAUUUUCUGAUUACUACAAUUUCUUUUCUAUUGAUACAACUGUGGUAAUUAGCAAGAAAGCACUACACAUGAUAAGUUCAAAAAGCUCCUGUUAUGGACUCAUUGGGACAGGCAGCUAUACUCUCCAAGCAGAGCCUAACCUCUGCUUGGACAGUAAAGCAGCUAGCCAUCUGGAUGCACUUCAUAUGCCUACCUGGGAAUUAGGUCUUUUAGCAAAAUGCAUUGUGGGUAGUAUGUCAAAGUUGAAGGCCCCAAACCUGCAAACUGUACGGUUCUUGUGUACACCACGUCUGAUGCAUUUUUUGUUUAUGUCUCUUAACUUGGGCAUGGUACCCAAAACGCUUUUCACUUUGCAUGCGCAGCUGGAACUAUGAACAGGUCCUGGAGUAUUUUGUGAUGUCCCAAUCCUUACAGUUCGCUGGACAGCUCUCCAAAACGAAGUUCAGGGCUGGUAUUUGUCUACUGUACAACUCAGAUUUAGGAAGAAUUACACUUAGUCUAUUUUUCGCAUUCCAUUCCUUUAAUACAUUUUAGCUUCUGAAAUUUCAACUCACAGUAGAAAUAACAUACCAGUGUGAGGGUGAGUGUUUUUAGAUAUACUCAACAAGAAAGUAGACGUUAGAAAAUAGCUUUCUGGAUAAUUGUUACAGGUAGUUAGAUGGAUAAAACAUAUGACAAGAUAUCCGAGGAUAGAUUAUUCAGUGUGAUGUAUGAUAGUGCCAUUUGAUCUAAUGAGAUUCUGAAACAAUGUACUUAUGAAAUUUGUGGGGUUAACCGGUUAGGGACAGUUCAGCUACUUUGGGAAAUCAGAUCAAACAUUUCCUUAGUAGUUAUCGAUGUACAUUGACAUUUUAUAACACUUUCAGACUGCAAAAUGCAAAUGAAUAAAGCGAUCUAAAAUUGUAAAAUCAUUUUCUCUGUAACCACAUGUCAAAAGAUAUUUCGAUAAUUUAUUCUCAAGUCAAUGUUUUCAGAAGAAUUGUCAGGACAUUCUCUUGACUUCUUUAUGUUUAAUUUGACAAAUGACGGUACUUAAAAAACUUUGAUUAAUUAACAGUUAAUUAGAAACAUUUAGAAUGAAUGAAGAUUUUAAGCAAUGUCAUUUGUUAAACAAAACGGCACGUAAGGUGGCAUUGUCAUGAUUGAUAUGUGAAAUUUUACUGGUGAAAAUUAAUGUAAGGUGAGGAUGUUUUUUAGAUAUUACAUUAAAAAAUAUUCAAGUCGUUUGUAAGCAAACUAUUGUAUACACAAUUUUCUAUGCAAAAUAUAACUCUUGCUCCAA